CGCGUCUUAAAGCCUGUAUGUUUAAAAUGGAAAGUAUGAACUUAUUAUUGUAGUAAGCAAUUAUGUACUUGUCACUUUUUUUCUGAGAACAAUAGCAAAAAACUCACUUUCACUCUGACUCAGCUGAGAAUAAACCCCUACACCUAAGUAGAGAAGGGGAGGUUCUGCGUUACCGGAACGACCGGGAUUUACAUAUACCCGGCAAAGGACUGUCGCUCCAGCAGCACUCCCCAUACAUAUAUUGGUAAUGUUUUGGCAGCUACAACAACAACAACUAAGGGAGAGAACUAUUCAUUGCUGUCGAAGGGACUGUAGAGCGAUUUUUGACAUUCUUGAGUGAUGUUACUCUUCUUCUUGAUUGGCGCGUAAACCGCCAGUUGGACACACCAAGUGAAGCCAAGUACAUGAUCUUUCCUCUUCCUCUGCUACCACCUGCUGGUAUCGCAUCGAAUACUUGCAGAGCCGGAGCGUUCGGACUCAUUCAACGAGGCCCCUGGAUCUUUAUUCGCUGUAAUCUCUAUUCGUCGUAAAGCUUAUACAGCUCAUUCUUCCAUCGCCUGCGAUACUCGCCGUCGCUAACGUGCAAAGGGACGCUUCAUAGGAUGUUGUCAUCAUCCAAGCUUCUACGCUAUACGAUAGGACGAGCAUGAUUAGAGCUUUAUAAAGUGUUUUGUUCGUCUAGAGAGGAAUUUACUACUCAAUUGUCUACUUGGUAUAAAGUAGGCUUGUUGGCUUACUCUAGCCAUUUCGAAUUUACGAUGUAGCCAUUCGAACUCAGUAAUACCUGCUUAAUGUUUUUGGUGGGUGCUUCCGCUCAAUUUAGAGACCGCUAAAGAUCAGGUAUCGGGAAAAAAUGUCAACAAGGUUUUACACUCAUUUUCUAAGAACUUGUUUACACUUCGUACUCGUUGUUGUUGUUGAAGUGACAGUCCUUGGCCGGAUAUGAAUCCGGGUCGUUCCGGUUACGUAGAACCGACUGCCGUGGGAACGACUUCGUACUCGUACUCGUCAGUGGUUGUGUUACUUUUCAUACGUAGAAGCUCGGAAAGUGAAAUAUGCAGAAAUCUAAUUCUAAGUUCUUCUUUACUGAAAUCAAGCAAUAGAAUAUUCGAGUAUUCAAAAGUACUAAAAACACACACACUGUACAGAGAAAAUUAUUAUUUUUGUAUUCUUUAAGCAAUUGUAACGUGUAUGCAUAACAAAAAUAUUUAUUUAAUUAUGCCGAUAUUUUUUCUGCACGUAUUAUAUUUCGAACUAAAAAUUUCGAAUUAUUUUAUGUAUUUUCUAUUGCGGUUUUAUAUGUGUCUCUACACAAAUAUUUGUUAAGUCGCUAUUAGUGCAUUGAGCGCCGCUGAGAAAUGAAAGUGUGUGCUUGAAAAAUGUCAGCAAGCUAAUAAAUGUCGAAGGUUAACAAAACAGUUAGAAACAUUUGUAAAACUGCUAACUUUUUCACACUCAAAAGAGAGCCUACACAGACUCUGAGUAUGAAAAGAGUAAAAUAGAGUGAAUCAUAUUUCGCUCAGAAAUAAACAACCAGGAGGGAGAAAUGUUUGAAUAAUAAAAAGUAACAGACUGACAACCGUUAGGUAGUCAUUUAAGACGAAUGAGUUGGUUUGUGUUUUGAUCGCUGUUCAGAUUAAUUUAAUUUUAAGUUUAUUUGUAAUAAAAACA